GUUGUGGCUCAGUGGUAGAGCGCUUGCCUAGCAUGUGUGAGGCACUGGGUUCAAUCCCCUGCACAACA
rnacentral:tRNA from 1 species